GUGGGUAUAGCUCAGUGGUAGAGCACGUGCUUAGCAUGCACAAGGUCUUGGGUUCAAUUUCCUGUACCUCCA
rnacentral:tRNA from 1 species